rnacentral:rRNA from 1 species
GUGUCAGCCGCCGCGGUAAUACAGAGGGUGCAAGCGUUAAUCGGAAUUACUGGGCGUAAAGCGUGCGUAGUCGGUUAUCUAAGUCAGGUGUGAAAUCCCCGGGCUCAACCUGGGAAUUGCAUUUGAUACUGGAUAGCUAGAGUUCGGCAGAGGGAAGUGGAAUUUCUGGUGUAGCGGUGAAAUGCGUAGAUAUCAGAAGGAACAUCAGUGGCGAAAGCGACUUCCUGGACCAGAACUGACGAUCAGGCACGAAAGCGUGGGGAGCAAACAGGAUUAGAUACCCCCGUAGUCC